GUAGUCCCGAAGGGCUAUGGCCGAACACUCAGCUUGGGGAAUUCGGUGGACGGGGUCACUUUGCAAGCUCUGCUUCACGGUCUCUGGGGCCCCGCCUGCGUGGCCCGGUGGGAAGAGGGGGAAAUAAGAGGGAAACUGAGACGUAGCUUCGAAGACCCAGCCUAACGGGGAACUAGAGAGUCAAAUAUCACCCCACUCCCAGGACACGGGUCACCGCAUCACUGGGUCCCCAACUGCCACUUGGAUUCAGGCCCUGUACUUGCGGUCCCUGCUUCUGUACACAUUCUAAGUCCCCUGGACCAGGUAGCCCCGCUUCCACUAAACCCAGGCUUUUGGAUUUGGAGUCCCCAAACUCCCUCUCUUGGUUGCUCCCUUCGGCCCACCUCCACUCCGUGCAAGAUCUGUGCUUCCUAACCUCUGUCUCAUUCAGGCCAAGCCUUCCCCACCCCCGUUGGAGAUCACAGACCUCGGUGGACUCCUGCUCAGGGUCUCUGCUCCCUAUAGAAGCUCAUUCCUCCCAACUUAGAAUGAAUGUCCCCACCCCCACCCCUCGACCCACUUUUUUUUUUUCUUUUUUUUUUUUUUGAGACAGAGUCUCGCUCUUGUCGCCCAGGCUGGAGUGCAAUGGCGCCAUCUCCGCUCACUGCAAGCUCCGCGUCCCGGGUUCACGCCAUUCUCCUGCCUCAGUCUCCCGAAUAGCUGGGACUACAGGCGCCCGCCACCACACCCGGCUAAUUUUUUGUACUUUUUAGUAGAGAUGGGGUUUCACCGUGUUAGCCAGGUUGGUC
rnacentral:lncRNA from 1 species